CAUGUUGGACCGGAGACACACGCACGCUCCCAACGCUCUCUGGCUACACAUCCCGGCGGCGGGAGCGCUCUGGAGCUCAUGUCUUUUUUUUUUUUUUUUUUUUUUUUUUUUGACCCUGCCCUUGGAACCCGAGGAGACUGUGCAGCUCCCCGGGGAGCGGGGUGUGUGUGUGUGUGUGUGUGAGUUGGGGAGGGGGGCGGAGGCCCGUCUACACCAUCAUAGGGGCGGGGGAAGCCGAGAUCUGAGCAUCAGCCUGAGGACUGGGGCUUGUGGUCCUCCGCUCCGCUUCAGAUCUCUCAGCGAGGCCUCUGGCCGGUCGUCUCGCCGCCUCGUUCCUCAGCUUCCCCAUCCGAGAAGUGGAGCUGGGCCUUCCUGACUCACCCAUUCAUCAGGUACUCAUUUAGCCUUUAGGAAACCAUAAAAUGAUUUAACAUAAAAAUAAAAAUCUGGGCUGAUUAACAUCUUUGGGUUCCUGGUUUAAAAAAAUAAUAAAAACAAUGAAAAACUGGAGGAAUUCUCACAGCAUAGAUCACAAAGAAUCUGAGGAAAUCCAAACCUUUCAAAGAUUCUGGAAGUUACAGUCAGUCUGGGGGUGAGCAGCAAAGGUA